AGCCUGCCCAGUGAAACAAUUCAACGGCCGCGGUAUCCUAACCGUGCGAAGGUAGCGUAAUCACUUGUUCUCUAAAUCAGGACUAGUAUGAACGGCAUCACGAGGGUUAUACUGUCUCCUUUUUCCAAUUAGUGAAUUUAAUUUUCCCGUGAAGAAGCGGGAAUAAGCCUAUAAGACGAGAAGACCCUAUGGAGCUUUAAACAAUCUAGCAUCUGCCUAUAUUCUUCAUGUUUCAGAACUCUCUAGACCUUCUACAUAAUGACUAGAAGUUUUAGGUUGGGGUGACCGCGGAGUAAAACCCAUCCUCCAUAAUGAAAGAAUUUUAAUUCUUAACCAAGAAAUACCUAUCUAAGUAUUAACACACUGACAUUUAUUGACCCAAUACAAUUGAUCAACGAACCAAGUUAC
rnacentral:rRNA from 1 species